GCACUUUUUAUUCGCUUGUAUGGAGAUGACCCUCGCCUCGUCCUUAUCACCCAGAUCAUUUGGCUUCCAUACUACUUUUAUCAAAAACAUUGAAAACCCUAGCUAUAGUUCCUUUUGCAGAUGAUGAGGUAAUGGAGGUAGACGAUGUUCUUCUCGAUCUUGUUACCAACAAUUUAUAUUCAAUAACAUAUAGAGAAUGAGAAAUCAUGUGUAUGGCACGCUACUGAUUACUCUGAUGGUGAAUUGAAAGAACAGUUGUUUUGUGUUCGAUUUGCAUCCACCGAGAUACCUGAAUACUACCUAAGGUUGCGCAUCAAAGUUUGGGGUACUGGUACAUUCUUUGGUGCCGGUGUAUCUUAUUUGCAAAGAAAGCUAGAUGCAGGAAGACAUAAUCAUACCUCCACUAGCUCUUGUCUGCAGGAUACUGGGAUUACUCGACAUCUCCCUUACGUAUUGCUUUGUGAGGAACUGAAGGGAGCUGUUGCAAGUACUUUUGUUGCUUUUACCACGCCACCCAGCAAUGCCGAAUAUAACUGCCUCGUUAAUGAAAUAAUGGAUCCAAGUGGGAUGUUAUACGAUGUAUAUGGAGUACUUUGGAGAUGUUUCACUAGGUCGAUUAGAUGGCCAAAAGCUUCUGUAAUCCUAUAGGAUAGACCUAACUAGAUUGAAUGUUUCAGUUCAAUUUUUUAAGUGUGAUUUUGAGUUGUAAAUGCAAAAUGAAUUUUUCCUUUUUUUGGUUGUAAUGUAACACUGGAUUAUCUUUUAAAUGCAAUGUAUAUCUGAUUUCAGAUUCAGUUAUUCUAUUUCA